GGCCGAAAUGGGUCCCCUAAUCUGACUGAAUAGUGCGGUUGUUUGCCAACGGUCUGGAGGUCUUCCUGGAGCUCCAGAGUAGCGGGACAACGUCGCGUCUGAGUCCGAAAUGGGUCCCGUAAUCGGACUGAGUGUGGCGGUUGGUUGCCAACGGUCUGGAGGUCUUCCUGGAGCUCCAGAGUAGCGGGACAACGUCGCGUCUGAGUCCGAAACGGGUCCCCUAAUCGGACUGAGUGGUGCGGUUGGUUGCCAACGGUCUGGAGGUCCUGAGAAUCAUCCAGGGGAGCGGGACCACUUGGCUUCUGAGGCCGAAUCGGGUCCCCUUGUCGGACUGAAUGGUGCAGUUGGUG
ensembl:lncRNA